GUAGCGAAAUUCCUUGUCGGGUAAUUUCCGACCCGCACGAAAGGCGUAAUGAUUUGGAUACUGUCUCAGAGAGGGGCUCGGUGAAAUAGACUUGUCUGUGAAGAUGCGGACUACCUGCACCAGGACAGAAAGACCCUAUGAAGCUUUACUGUAACUUGAAAUUGAAAUUGGACUUUAGUUGCGCAGUAUAGGUGGGAGGCAUUGAGUUUAUUCUUGCGGGAAUUUAGGAGCCAUCAGUGAGAUACCACUCUGCUAA
rnacentral:rRNA from 1 species